UACGUAGGGUGCGAGCGUUGUCCGGAUUUAUUGGGCGUAAAGAGCUCGUAGGCGGCUUGUCGCGUCGUUCGUGAAAACCCGGGGCUCAACUCCGGGCUUGCGGGCGAUACGGGCAGGCUAGAGUUCGGUAGGGGAGACGUGGAAUUCCUGGUGUAGCGGUGAAAUGCGCAGAUAUCAGGAGGAACACCGGUGGCGAAGGCGGGUCUCUGGACAGUUCCUGACGCUGAGGCACGAAGGCCAGGGGAGCAAACGGG
rnacentral:rRNA from 1 species